rnacentral:lncRNA from 1 species
UAACUUAUUUAUAUUUGAAGAGUCUUUUAGAGAAUAUUAUAUUUUUUCACCAUUAUAUUUUCGACAUAGUUAAGCAAAUAGGUAUUUGAAGAGUAAAAUUUAUACAGUCUUUUGGAGAUGCUCUUAGUAGGUAGGAUUUUAAAUGAAUUGCUGUAGUGUUUAUUUUCUAGAGUGAGAGUGAGGAGUGUGGAUUCCUCUUACUCCAGUGUUUUGGAGUGGGGAGUGAGAUUCACACUCCCAUAGGAGGAGGUGGGAGUAGGGAUGGCAAAAUAACUCGGACCCGGACGAACUCGGAUAAUCCAGACUGGUUUGAACUCGUACUGGAGUGCAAAAAAAUCUAGAUCCGGGUUUGGGAUAACCCUUAUAUCAAGAACCCGGACCUGAAUAUUUUUUUUUAUUAAUUAUAUUUAUUAGUUAAUAUAAAUACAAACAUAAAAAAAACCCUAAUUAUAUUUCUAUCUUUCUACUCACAGACACAAACACAUUGAAGCUGUGCCGCUGCAAAGUGCCAAAGUCAAACAACCAUCGGUUGGGAUCACCACUGUCGCAAGAUCGGGUUUGCCACUGUCACAACUUGUUUGGUUCACCACUGUUGCAUGCUUGCAGCUUGGCAGCUCCUCUAUUCAUCAUCAUCAGUAGUCUUUUUUGAGCUGUGACAGCUCACCUUCACCAUCGGCUGCCGUGAACACCAGCGUCGCAUGCUUGCAGGAGGAUGUGCAUUAGUUGACAAGUACAAAUCUGAGCCCCAAAAUGAAUUUUCAAAGCAAAAUACAGUUAAUUCACGGUCGUAUCAAAAUCAAACCCAAGCUUUUCCCCAAAUUGGAAUAUCAUUUUGUUUUGUUUUUUUACAGCCUCCAAUUAGAAUUAGAAGAUCGUUUUAGUAGGAGCUAUUCUCCAAUAUAUUUGUUGUGUAUUUAAUUGACUACUAAAGUGACCUUUUUAUCUUUUUUUUUUUUCAAGCAAUGUGUUUAGUGUUUACAUUACUUUUUCUGUUUUGAUUUGAAUUUGCCUUAUAAUUAAUUCAAAUUUCUCGCUUGUGUCCACGGGAGGAUUGCUGGAAUCGUAGAAAUUGAUUUAUUGAUCCGGGUUCAAAACCCGGAAUCCGGGAACCCGGAUUUUUCUGGGUUGAACCCAGACCGGACCCGGAUGGAAAAAAAUCGGGUUUUAAUCCGGGUUCAGGAGAAAGAAAAUGACGUCUGGCUCCGGAACCAGAACUGGGAAGACUAAACCUGGACCCGGACCUGGACUCAAACCCAGAUUUUGCCAUCCCUAGGUGGGAGUGGGAAUCCACUCCUCCUCUUCCCUUUU